ensembl:snoRNA
ACCCCCUGACAAUGGGCAAAGAAACAUCUCAUCGGUGGUGUUAUUCUUGUAUCAUUAGGGGGCAUAAAAGAUGGAAGUCCUUUGUUCAUCCUAGCUUGAUGCCUGGCUUGGUGGCCAAAGCUGUUUCAUGCCUAGGGCACAAUC